AUAUUGCGCAAUGGGCGAAAGCCUGACGCAGCCACGCCGCGUGAGUGAUGAAGGCCUUCGGGUUGUAAAGCUCUGUCGGGAGGGACGAAAGGAGUAAUCCUUGACGGUACCUCGCAAGAAAGCACCGGCUAACUCUGUGCCAGCAGCCGCGGUAAUACAGAGGGUGCAAGCGUUGCUCGGAUUUACUGGGCGUAAAGCGUACGCAGACGGUGAAGAAGGUCGGGUGUGAAAGCCCCGGGCUCAACCCGGGAACUGCAUCCGAAACCAUUUCGCUAGAGUAUGAGAGAGGGAAGCAGAAUUCCUGGUGUAGAGGUGAAAUUCGUAGAUAUCAGGAGGAAUACCUGCGGCGAAGGCGGCUUCCUGGCUCAUUACUGACGUUCAGGUACGAAAGCGUGGGUAGCAAACAGG
rnacentral:rRNA from 1 species